AUAAUGGGAAAAACCACUUGCAAAUGAAUUGGUAAUCAGAGUUGGAGCUAUAUGUGAUCUAGUUAUCUUCACCUUUUAACAAAGGUCUGGAGAGAUUUGAAGAGAGACAGAUCCAAAAUAGAGAGAAACUUUCACAGCCCUAAAAAAAUCUGGGGAUAUCCUCAUGAAUGAAUAGAACUGGAGUUAUCUUCAGAAGUGUGGAAAAAGAUAAAGAUGCCCAAGGUCCACGACCAAAAAGAGUCUACAAGCAAGGUGUGGUCAAAGUGAUAAGAGUCUAAAAAGACCAAGGGAGAGAAGAAAACUUGCAGAGAACUAGCAGAUCAUCAUAGUAAACUCUGCUCAGGCCAUUUUGGUACUGGAAAUGACAGAGAAGCCAGAAAUGGUAGCCAUGCCAUGCCAUGUCAUGCCAUUUUCAAUGACAAAAGAAGGAAAGAGUUUUCCCUUUCUCUUCCUAGUCCCCAAGGAGAGCGGCUGUAAAUAGUAGUAUAUUAGCUAUGACAACUGGCAAAUAGCUAUGCUGUCCCUAUGUCAUGGCUGCUUCUGUGGGUACCAUUGUGACCCCAGCAUGAGUCAAGAUGAUUAUCAGAAUGUCUAGCAGAUUACCCAGGCCUUGCACCUGGAUCAAUGGGCUGCCCUAAUGAAGGAUAUCAAAAAUGAAGGGGCAGCUAAAGAAAAAUAAAAGACACCUCAGAAAGUAGCCUGCCUCUUUGACAAGGGACAUGCCUUCAGAGGAACAUAACAGAAACCUCUGAGAAUUGUCAACAAUAAAAAGACUGAGCAACAAGGGAAACUGGUAGGAAGCCAAAGGUUUUAAGAGGUGAGAGUGGAGAAAUGCUGUGCUUUUAUUGAUCCUCUCCAAAGGAACACCUUUAAAAAAGGCAAAAAUCAAGUUACCAGGAAAAUAUUUUUUAAAAACCACGAACAGUCUAAGAGCACUGAACAUUUUGAAUCAUUUGCCUUUUCUCAACACUGGAUUUUAAGCAAGGAACAAGACUAUUCCAGUUCUAAAUGCUUUAAUGAACAAGGGGUAUUGGGUUUUAGCAUCAACAUGAUCUAUCCUCACUCUGAAGCUUUAACUUGAGUAGCUGCUGUGCUUUGUAAAGCUUCAAUCCAAUUCAUUUGAUAACUACAAUUACCAAAUCUGGGCAUUGCUGACUACACAGUUCAAAAAAACAGCAUGGAGGGAAGACCUGCUGAGAACCUUAGAAUCUAUCGAUAAGCUCUUGAAAUGGUUUAAAGUAAUAAACCACUUCAAUUGAAAGGGCAAUAAAAUGUUUUUCGUGUAUAUAUGUACAUAAGA
rnacentral:lncRNA from 1 species